GGCCCGAUAGCUCACUUGGUUAGGGUGUGGUGCUGGUAAAGCCAAGGCUGCAGGUUCAAUCCCUGUUUAGGACA